rnacentral:snRNA from 1 species
AUGCUGACUUCAGCAGCACAUAUACUAAAGUUGGAACGAUACAGAAAAGAUUAACAUGGCCCCUGAGCAAGAAUGACACACACAUUUGUGAAGCGUUCCAUAUUUUU